UGAUUCAGUGUGAAAAGCCCUGGCAGUAUAGGAUGGUCCCGCGUCUGAUUAGCUGGUUGGUGAGGUAACGGCUCACCAAGGCGACGAUCAGUAGCCGGCUUGAGAGAGUGAACGGCCACAUUGGGACUGAGACAUGGCCCAAACUCCUACGGGAGGCAGCAGUGGGGAAUAUUGCACAAUGGGGGAAACCCUGAUGCAGCGACGCCGCGUGAGUGAAGAAGUAUUUCGGUAUGUAAAGCUCUAUCAGCAGGGAAGAAAACAGACGGUACCUGACUAAGAAGCCCCGGCUAACUACGUGCCAGCAGCCGCGGUAAUACGUAGGGGGCAAGCGUUAUCCGGAAUUACUGGGUGUAAAGGGUGCGUAGGUGGCAUGGUAAGUCAGAAGUGAAAGCNCCGGGGCUUAACCCCGGGACUGCUUUUGAAACUGUCAUGCUGGAGUGCAGGAGAGGUAAGCGGAAUUCCUAGUGUAGCGGUGAAAUGCGUAGAUAUUAGGAGGAACACCAGUGACGAAGGCGGCUUACUGGACUGUCACUGA
rnacentral:rRNA from 1 species